UUCCGCCAUGUUAUGAUAGAGCAAAAAAGCUGCUGCCAGAAGCUAACCCUGUGCCAGCUCCCUGCUUUUUGGACUUCCCAACCUCUAGAAUCCUAAGACCCUUGGCAGUUAAUCUCUCACUGGCUUGCAACAUGGUCUUCUUCGUAAGAGAUGCUUGACUGAAGAGAGUGGGAGUUGUGUAACUACCUUCUAGUAUUCCUGCUGCAGUGCGCUGUUUGUUCAACUACUGAAGAUUUCAUACCACAGAACUCUGUGACUCGCUCUUCAAAAACAGCUCUUCAACUUGGAUAGAGGUUGAUUUUUAUAGACAUUUUGAAAGUCACUAAUGAAGCAACAAGGCCUUGAGAAGAAAAAAUAAGAAAGUACCUUCAGGGCCUUAGACUUAGAAAGUACCUUCAGGGCCUUAGAAGAUUGAUUAAAUAAGACACAAAAAAACCAUUAACCAUAAAGGGCAAAUAAAAAUGUGAUAAUUUGGACUAUUAAACAAUUACUAAAAUUUGUUCAUGAAAAGACACAAUAAACUGGGCAUAGUGGA